AAUGAACGUUGGCGGCGUGGAUUAGGCAUGCAAGUCGUGCGAGAAGUCUUUUGCUUGCAUUAGACGGAAAGCGGCGAAAGGGAGAGUAACGCGUGGGUACCUACCUCUAGGUUCGGGAUAGCUGCGGGAGACUGUGGGUAAUACCGAAUAACAUCUCCGGAUCAAAGGUGUGAUUCCGCCUGGCGACGGGCCCGCGUCCUAUUAGCUUGUUGGUGGGGUAAUGGCUUACCAAGGCAAUGAUGGGUAUCGGGCGUGAGAGCGUGACCCGACUCACUGGGACUGAGACACUGCCCAGACACCUACGGGUGGCUGCAGUCGAGAAUCUUCGGAAAUGGGCGCAAGCCUGACCGAGCGACGCCGCGUGCGGGAUGAAGGCCCUCGGGUUGUAAACCGCUGUCAGUUGGGAGGAAAUCACAUGGGGUUCUCUCCAUGUGUUGACAUAUCUUCAGAGGAAGGACGGGCUAAGUUCGUGCCAGCCGCCGCGGUAACAC
rnacentral:rRNA from 1 species